ACGCAGCCAUGCCGCGUGUGUGAAGAAGGCCUUCGGGUUGUAAAGCACUUUCAAUAGGGAGGAAAGGUUGUAACUUAAUACGUUGCAACUGUGACGUUACCUAUAGAAGAAGCACCGGCUAACUCCGUGCCAGCAGCCGCGGUAAUACGGAGGGUGCGAGCGUUAAUCGGAAUUACUGGGCGUAAAGCGCGCGUAGGCGGCUUCGUCAGUCAGAUGUGAAAGCCCCGGGCUCAACCUGGGAACUGCAUUUGAUACUGCGGAGCUAGAGUAUGGUAGAGGAUAGUGGAAUUCCAGGUGUAGCGGUGAAAUGCGUAGAUAUCUGGAGGAACAUCAGUGGCGAAGGCGACUGUCUGGACCAAUACUGACGCUGAGGUGCGAAAGCGUGGGGAGCAAAC
rnacentral:rRNA from 1 species